AGGACGAACGCUGGCGGCGUGCUUAACACAUGCAAGUCGAACGAAGUCCAUCCGGUAGCAAUACCGGUGAAGGCUUAGUGGCGAACGGGUGAGUAACACGUGAGCAACCUGCCCCGAAGACCGGGAUAACAGCGGGAAACCGCUGCUAAUACCGGAUAUCCCCACCGGAUCGCAUGGUCUGGUGAGGAAAGCCUUUACGCUUCGGGGAGGGACUCGCGGCCUAUCAGCUUGUUGGUGAGGUAACGGCCCACCAAGGCGACGACGGGUAGCUGGUCUGAGAGGACGAUCAGCCACACUGGGACUGAGACACGGCCCAGACUCCUACGGGAGGCAGCAGUGGGGAAUCUUGCGCAAUGGGCGAAAGCCUGACGCAGCAACGCCGCGUGCGGGAUGAAGGCCUUCGGGUUGUAAACCGCUUUCAAGCAGGGACGAUAAUGACGGUACCUGCAGAAGAAGCUCCGGCCAACUACGCGCCAGCAGCCGCGGU
rnacentral:rRNA from 1 species